GGGUUGUGAGGUUAAGCGACUAAGCGUACACGGUGGAUGCCCUGGCAGUCAGAGGCGAUGAAGGACGUGCUAAUCUGCGAAAAGCGUCGGUAAGGUGAUAUGAACCGUUAUAACCGGCGAUGUCCGAAUGGGGAAACCCAGUGCAAUUCGUUGCACUAUCGUUAAGUGAAUACAUAGCUUAACGAGGCGAACCGGGGGAACUGAAACAUCUAAGUACCCCGAGGAAAAGAAAUCAACCGAGAUUCCCCCAGUAGCGGCGAGCGAACGGGGAGCAGCCCAGAGUCUGAAUCAGCUUGUGUGUUAGUGGAACGGUCUGGAAAGUCCGACGGUACAGGGUGAUAGUCCCGUACACCAAAAUGCACAGGYUGUGAACUCGAUGAGUAGGGCGGGACACGUGGUAUCCUGUCUGAAUAUGGGGGGACCAUCCUCCAAGGCUAAAUACUCCUGACUGACCGAUAGUGAACCAGUACCGUGAG
rnacentral:rRNA from 1 species